rnacentral:lncRNA from 1 species
AUUUAAAAAAAGAGCCAGAGGACCAAAAGAAGAAACAUGGGAAAGAAGUCUGCAUCUUUGUUCUGAUGAACCCUCGUAAACAGGAUGAAACCGCUCAGCAACUUCAUCACGUGUCUACCCUGCUUGAUUAACUGAUGAAUUAGCCUGUGCAGUCAGAUCAUCUUUAAACAUGUCUGACAACAUAAAUCCACAAACCUUGUCAGAGACACAGUUGACAGUGAAGCAAAGUGACAAGCACACUGGGCAGAGUAAUCUUCUUCAAUCACCUACGAAACAGACAUUCAAGUCAGCUGCAAAUGGCACUACUGCCGUUAUACCAGACUCAGGGGACAAGUUCUCCAGCUCCUCUCAUCAGUCCGUUUCAGAGAAAGGAACAAAGGUCGCUGGUCAAAAGGCUAAUACUAAAAAAACGAAAAGAAAGAAAAAUAUGGCAACCUUGGACAAGAAUGCUGAAGACCAGAUGGUGAACCAGAAUAGGCCACCCGACCUAAAAGACCAGGACAAUGCGCAAACUACUGCUGCUGUUAAGGAUGUCUGUUUUGGUUCUCAAAAGACCGAGACCAUAGGUUCCAGUGUUGACCCACCGGAAGUGGAGCCUAUGGAGAUUGAGCAGUCUGCCGAUGGGAAAGGAGAUGCCUCCUUUUCACCAACAAGUCCAGAUUUUAAGAUGGAACCAAAGGACAACACAAUAGUUGGAUCUGAGACAGAAAUCAAAGGUGCCAGUGUUGACCGACACGUGGAGCCUAUGGAGGUUGAGCAGUCUGCCCAAGGGAAAGGAGAUGCCUCCCUUUCACCAACUAGUCCAGAUAUUAAGAGGGACAACACAAGUGAUGCCUCUGAAACUCCGGCUGGACCGCCGCCAGAAAGUUUCAGCACAGCCGUGGUUGGAUCAGAGACAGACAGCAUCCCCUCCAGUGUUGGCCUACAGGAUGAUGCCAUGGAGGUCGAGCAGUCUGACCAUAGGAAAGGAGACACGAACAGUGAUGACUCUGGAACUAUGGAUAAAAAGUAUCCUUGUCCACCUCCAAAAAGGUAUUCAUUCCAAAACGUUCUGCUAAAACCGGAUGUCAUUCAAUGCUCAUGGUUAUUUAAAUCCCCUUCCCCAAUACUUAUCCUGCAUACCUGCAUAUGUUUAGACCAAGGCUCCCCAACCAUCUCCUACCAUCCUGGAGGUUUUAACACACCUGAUUCUAAUAAUUAGUUGGUUGAUAAGCUGAACCAAGUUGAUACAAAUCAAAUGUUAUUGGUCCAUACACAUGGUAAGCAGAUGUUAUUGGCCCAUACACAUGGUUAGCAGAUGUUAUUGGUCCUUACACAUGGUUAGCAGAUGUUAUUGGUCCAUACACAUGGUUAGCAGAUGUUAUUGGUCCUUACACAUGGUUAGCAGAUGUUAUUGGUCCUUACACAUGGUUAGCAGAUGUUAUUGGCCCAUACACAUGGUUAGCAGAUGUUAUUGGUCCUUACACAUGGUUAGCAGAUGUUAUUGGUCCAUACACAUGGUUAGCAGAUGUUAUUGGUCCUUACACAUGGUUAGCAGAUGUUAUUGGUCCAUACACAUGGUUAGCAGAUGUUAUUGGUCCUUACACAUGGUUAGCAGAUGUUAUUGGUCCUUACACAUGGUUAGCAGAUGUUAUUGGUCCAUACACAUGGUUAGCAGAUGUUAAUGAGAGUGUAGCGAAAUUCUUGUGCUUCUAGUUCCGACCAUGCAGUAAUAUCUAACAAGUAAUAUCUAACAAUUCCCCCAACGACUACCUAAUACACACAAAUCUAAAGAGGUGAAUAAGAAUAUGUCCAUAUAAAUAUAUGGAUGAGCGACGGCCGAGCGGAUGGUAUAAAAUACAGUAUAUACAUAUGAGAUGAGUCAAGUAAGACAUUAUUAAAGUG